rnacentral:rRNA from 1 species
AGAGUGAACGCUGGCGGUAGGCCUAACACAUGCAAGUCGAACGGCAGCACAGUGGUAGCAAUACCAUGGGUGGCGAGUGGCGGACGGGUGAGGAAUACAUCGGAAUCUACCUUUUCGUGGGGGAUAACGUAGGGAAACUUACGCUAAUACCGCAUACGCCCUUUGGGGGAAAGCCGGGGAUCGCAAGACCUGGCGCGGAUAGAUGAGCCGAUGUCGGAUUAGCUAGUUGGUGAGGUAAUGGCUCACCAAGGCGACGAUCCGUAGCUGGUCUGAGAGGAUGAUCAGCCACACUGGAACUGAGACACGGUCCAGACUCCUACGGGAGGCAGCAGUGGGGAAUAUUGGACAAUGGGCGCAAGCCUGAUCCAGCCAUACCGCGUGGGUGAAGAAGGCCUUGGUUGUAAAGCCCUUUGUUGGAAAGAAAGCGAAAUCGGUUAAUACCCGGUUGUUCUGACGGUACCCAAAGAAUAAGCACCGGCUAACUUCGUGCCAGCAGCCGACGUAAU